GGAGGAGAUGAUGGACACCAUCCAGCCACAACCAUCCCCCGAGCAAAAGCCUUGGAUUUGAGGACAAAUCCUUUUCAAGAGGGAGGGGAUGAUGGAGGAGGGCCCAAGCUCACCACACUAUGAAAGCCAAGCUUCCAAGACUAAGACCGUCUAGCCAUGAUGGGAGCGUCUAGCCUCAAAAAGGAGCGUCUAGCCAUGAUGAGGAGCGUCUAGGCCAUGAAGAGGAGCGGCUACAUAAGGAGCAUCUAUGAAGAGUCCUAGACCGUCUAGCUUCAC
rnacentral:lncRNA from 1 species